rnacentral:rRNA from 1 species
AUUGAACGCUGGCGGCAGGCCUAACACAUGCAAGUCGAGCGGAUGAAGGGAGCUUGCUCCUGGAUUCAGCGGCGGACGGGUGAGUAAUGCCUAGGAAUCUGCCUGGUAGUGGGGGAUAACGUCCGGAAACGGGCGCUAAUACCGCGUACGUCCUGAGGGAGAAAGUGGGGGAUUUUCGGACCUCACGCUAUCAGAUGAGCCUAGGUCGGAUUAGCUAGUUGGUGGGGUAAAGGCCUACCAAGGCGACGAUCCGUAACUGGUCUGAGAGGAUGAUCAGUCACACUGGAACUGAGACACGGUCCAGACUCCUACGGGAGGCAGCAGUGGGGAAUAUUGGACAAUGGGCGAAAGCCUGAUCCAGCCAUGCCGCGUGUGUGAAGAAGGUCUUCGGAUUGUAAAGCACUUUAAGUUGGGAGGAAGGGCAGUAAGUUAAUACCUUGCUGUUUUGACGUUACCAACAGAAUAAGCUCCGGCUAACUUCGUG